UUUCCUACGGGGGGCAGCAGUAGGGAAUCUUCCACAAUGGGCGAAAGCCUGAUGGAGCAACGCCGCGUGAGUGAAGAAGUCUUUCGGUAUGUAAAGCUCUAUCAGCAGGGAAGAAGAUGACGGUACCUGAGUAAGAAGCCCCGGCUAACUACGUGCCAGCAGCCGCGGUAAUACGUAGGGGGCAAGCGUUAUCCGGAUUUACUGGGUGUAAAGGGAGCGUAGACGGUGAGACAAGUCUGAAGUGAAAGCGCGGGGCUCAACCCCGGGACUGCUUUGGAAACUGCCUGCCUGGAGUGCUUGAGAGG
rnacentral:rRNA from 1 species